rnacentral:rRNA from 1 species
GACGUAGGGUGCGAGCGUUGUCCGGAUUUAUUGGGCGUAAAGAGCUCGUAGGCGGCUCGUCGCGUCGACCGUGAAAACCCGCGGCUUAACUGCGGGCUUGCGGUUGAUACGGGCGGGCUAGAGUUCGGUAGGGGAGACUGGAAUUCCUGGUGUAGCGGUGAAAUGCGCAGAUAUCAGGAGGAACACCGGUGGCGAAGGCGGGUCUCUGGGCGAAUACUGACGCUGAGGAGCGAAAGCGUGGGGAGCGAACAGGAUUAGA